AUAGGGAAAAGGCAAACCCGUCGAAAGGCGGGGACGCAAAGCCAGGGGUCUACAGCUCGUCAUGAGCCAUGACAGCCGGUUGCCACA
rnacentral:ncRNA from 1 species